UUAAAUUGAAGAGUUUGAUCAUGGCUCAGAUUGAACGCUGGCGGCAGGCCUAACACAUGCAAGUCGAACGGUAACAGAAAGCAGCUUGCUGCUUUGCUGACGAGUGGCGGACGGGUGAGUAAUGUCUGGGAAACUGCCUGAUGGAGGGGGAUAACUACUGGAAA
rnacentral:rRNA from 1 species